UGACAUGCUAGACUGAAUAUUUUUUUUCCUCAUCUGAUCUUGGAACCUAAGCAGUCUUAGACCUGACUAGUACUUGGAUAGGAGACCGACUUGGAAACCCAGGGUUCACACAUAU
rnacentral:rRNA from 1 species